AUUGAACGCUGGCGACAUGCCUUACACAUGCAAGUCGAACGGCAGCACGGGUGCUUGCACCUGGUGGCGAGUGGCGAACGGGUGAGUAAUACAUCGGAACAUUUCCUGUAGUGGGGGAUAGCCCGGCGAAAGCCGGAUUAAUACCGCAUACGAUCUACGGGUGAAAGCGGGGGACCUUCGGGCCUCGCGCUGUAGGGGUGGCCGAUGGCUGAUUAGCUGGUUGGUGGGGUGAAGGCCUACCAAGGCGACGAGCAGUAGCUGGUCUGAGAGGACGACCAGUCACACUGGGACUGGGACACGCCCCAGACUCCUACGGGAGGCACCAGUGGGGAAUUUGGGACAAUGGGCGAAAGCCUGAUCCAGCAAUGCCGCGUGUGUGAAGAAGGCCUUCGGGUUGUGAAGCACUUUUGUCCGGAAAGAAAUCCUUGGCCCUAAUACGGUCGGGGGAUGACGGUACCGGAUGAAUAAGCACCGGCUAACUACGUG
rnacentral:rRNA from 1 species